CACUGUUCCUACGCCGUCAUUGAAAAUAAGAAUUUGUUCUUAACUGACUUGCCUGGUUAUAAAGGUAAAAUAAUAUAUUUUUUUUUUAAACAACCCAGCCGCUGCAUCAAUGGUCUGCAAUAAGCACCAAAUUAACAUUAUCCCCAGACAUAAAUUCAUUAAUUUAAGAAAAAUAUAUUAAUUACAAGAAAAACGUUCUGAUGGGAUGAAAUGUUAACCAAAAACAUGGAAAACGUACACUGUUCAAAUAGAAAGACUCAAAACACCUACAUUGUGUACUGAAACCAUGAAAAGUAGUGCACCUAAACUAAGAUCUGGUGUUUGGAUGGGCUUUGAAUGUAAACCUAAUGUAAGUAUUUUGUUUUAAAAUAGAAUGGAAGUACUCUUAAACACUCAAAAGUGGAUAUUCAAUCUGAAUAUUGGUGUUUUUAAAAAUAUUGUGAAAAAAAUGUGGGGGCUCAGUACAAAAAUAUUUUUGCAGACUCUCACACAAUCCUUUCCAGUGACUCAUUUUAGAAAUGUAUUGAGUGUAAGAGCCAGAGCUGAUAUAUUUCUCCAUGGUUUGCUGAAAUACGUUCAUAUUUUAAAGAGGAUACAGGAAUGUAAUACUUUUCCUAGGGUAGACAAUGGCACUAGGUAUAGAUUAUUACAGUUUCCAGGCUCAUUGUGAGAUUAUAAAUUAUGUUACAAUCAAAAUACUUAAAGUAAGUAAGUUAUAGUAGAGGACACAUGUAUAAAGCUGGUGUAUGUGUGAUAAUAUGGAUUUGAACCUGGGUCACCUGCUUGUCAAAACACUGCCUUAGUCCAUUCAGCCAGUCUUCAGUCUUAACAGCUGUGCUGACCACCAUUGUUACAUUGAGCACAUUGGGGCCGAUUCAGUCUUGAGAUAAAUACACUUAACAUGGAUUUGAGUCAAUAAAACAUGGACAUUUGUUUUACUUGAUCCAUGUUAAAUCAACAUAUGUGCACCUAUAUUUUUUUUCAAUACUUUAUUUAGACAGAUUAGAAACAGAAGGAGUGAAGGUGAGAUAUGCGGAAGUGGGGAUUAAACCCACUCAAGCAUAUAUCCACACGACUUGUAAGGAACUUGUAAAUCACAUUGAGUUAAACUCUGGUUCCCCAUAUCAGAAGACACAUGUUUAGAUUAAAGGUCAAAUGUGAAUUUCAAACAUUGUGCUGCCAUACUGAUCAGAAUUCCCCCAGUCUGGGGCAUGGAGGUGGAGAGAAGGCAUUCAUAGCAGGAGUGAUUAUUCUUUGGUCUAGUGUAAAAACAGGCAAGUUUGUGUGUGCCUCUCCUCUCUUUGGGUCCUUCGCAAACUCAGACAGGCGAGAGCACACCAAACGCUCAGAAAAUCAUGAAUAUGGGUCAAUUCUAACCAAAGCCAAUCAAGACAAGGAUCAGACUAAUGCCGGCUGAAAUGUCAGUUUUCUCAUCUAGCUCAACUGUACUGUGAUUCAAUCCAUUGCAACAUGUACCAUCUGAAUAUAAAUACUCAGGUCAGAGAUGUAGUUUGUACAUGUGUAAAGAGUCAUAACUACAUCUCUGCCUAUCGUCUCUAACCAGAAUCCCACCGUAGAUGGUCAUCUUUCACCAGCCCUAUCUAUACCCCUCAUUCUUUACAUGUAUAUUGUCGUACACUUAAUCCUCUUUCUAUUGGCACUUUGAAGUCAACCCAGGUUGGGCUGGCAUUGGUGGGCUAGCUCAAAUUGCGUUUCCACUGCCUCCAGAAAUGAGAAAUUAUGUCAUGUUGCUAGAUAGCCAAUAUGUGACUGCAGUUGGCUUCGCUGAUGUUGCUAGCUAGCAGAAUGUUGAAGAAUUUAAUUCGCCCUCACCAUGCUGCAUUUAACUUUACUCUAUACUGCUGUCAGUGCCAGUCAGACUCCGAGCCAUUCAUUUAGCUUGCUGACGUUAGCUAGCUGGUUAGCGUCGUCGCUAGCAUUACAGGCUAGCUAGCUAGCUUAAUUCCUACCUUGACAUUGGCUAUUAGCUAGCUAGCUAACCAAGCAAACCAGACGACAGGCUUGAUAAAAUGUAGCUAGUUAGCUAGCUUUCAAUGCGACCAGGCCAGCUAAAAUUCCUGCUUAGUUCGCCUGUUAGUUUUUUCAACUCUGAUUUGCUAGCUAACGUUAGAUAGCUAGCAUUUGAGGUCUGACUGGUCUCAUACGCGUUUAUUGUGUAGUGCAAAAAUGAAUGAAGAAUCCAGCUAUGGUGGUAAUUUGUGUCAUGUCUGACUACUGCAGUCCUGCUUGUCCAUCAACUAGCUAACAGAGCCCAGAAGAGCUAUCUAAAUGUUGUCAGUAUCCAGCAGUAAUGAACUUGGUGGUUGUAAAAUAUAUAUAUAUAACAACCUUGGUGGUUGUAUAGUAAUGGCGUCACUCGACCCAACUCGAAUUUGGCCCUAAUUGGAAAUUGGGCUUUAGAGGUAGCCCUUAUUCAGGACUCCAAUUACAUUAGAGUGGAGCCAUUCCACGUCGCCUUUUGCCUUGUAAGGGAAAUGCCCAGACGCUCCGAUGCUGCCCGACGCUGAGAAGGUCCUGUACUUUCCCCAAUCAAGCAUUGAACCUGCAAUUUACUGUACAACAACACCCAAUCCUGAGAAUACGAAUACGCUAAAUAUGUUUCAGAUCUUGGAAGUGUCUUAAUCAAUCUACAAAUGUGAAUGACCUGUUAAGGUUUUGUUGUCAUUUUAUAAAAUGCAAAGAAAAUAAAGAAUUUAAAGCUUCAA